rnacentral:rRNA from 1 species
AGUGAACGCUGGCGGCGUGCCUAAUACAUGCAAGUCGAACGAUGAAGUCCUAGCUUGCUAGGAUGGAUUAGUGGCGCACGGGUGAGUAAUAUAUAGUUAAUCUGCCCUACACAGAGGAACAACAGUUGGAAACGGCUGCUAAUACCUCAUAUUCCUAUUUGACAUAAGUUAAAUAGGGAAAGUCUUUUCGGUGUAGGAUGAGACUAUAUCGUAUCAGCUAGUUGGUAAGGUAAUGGCUUACCAAGGCUAUGACGCGUAACUGGUCUGAGAGGAUGAUCAGUCACAUUGGAACUGAGACACGGUCCAAACUCCUACGGGAGGCAGCAGUAAGGAAUAUUGCGCAAUGGGGGAAACCCUGACGCAGCAACGCCGCGUGGAGGAUGACACUUUUCGGAGCGUAAACUCCUUUUAUCAGGAAAGAAUAAUGACGGUACCUGAUGAAUAAGCACCGGCUAACUCCGUGCCAGCAGCCGCGGUAAUACGGGGGGUGCAAGCGUUACUCGGAAUCACUGGGCGUAAAGGACGCGUAGGCGGAUUAUCAAGUCUUUUGUGAAAUCUAGUGGCUUAACCACUAAACUGCUUAGGAAACUGAUAGUCUAGAGUAGGGGAGAGGUAGAUGGAAUUCUUGGUGUAGGGGUAAAAUCCGUAGAGAUUAAGAAGAAUACCCAUUGCGAAAGCGAUCUGCUGGAACCUAACUGACGCUGAGGCGUGAAAGCGGGGGUAGCAAACAGG